UGACUUCACCAAAUUUUUACA
rnacentral:miRNA from 1 species